CUGCUGUCCGGUUCGUCGCGCUGACCCUGCCAACGCAACAAACGCCCAGACCUUCUCUGCACUAUGGAUGAGCAGUGUGGCCUGCUCUCGUUCUGCCCUUCCCUGGAAAUGCGCGCAAGAAGGGAGGUGGCAAAAAUCAUGUCCACCGGGGGGGCUCAGAGGCAGAGUCUUGCUUUGUUGUCCAGGCUGGUCUUGAACUUCUGAGCUCAAGUGAUCCUCCCGCCUUGGCCUCCCAAAGUGCUGAGACUACAGAGAGAGAAUGCUAACGAGCUGUGAAAUGACCAAAGAUCUGGCAGCAGAAGGGAAAAGAAAAAAUAAUGGGAAGAAGAGGAUUUAUCUGACUCAACUGGAGAUGGCUCCCUUCCCUUAUUUAUUGUUGCAUCCUGAAGCUUCCCCCAUGCUGGGCUCAGUGUGAACAAACAGCGCGGGAGAAUGCAACCACUGCAGAGGCAUAUGUUUGAGAUACCUGGCCACUGGAGGUCAUCUCGUCUACUAUAUUCACCGCAGAUAAAGAAUGAAAAGAGAAUACACAACCUUGUGAUUGCUAGCAGUGAAAGCUCAGAGUUAUGACAUAACAAGUGGUUGAUCAUACUGUAAAACUCAAAUGUGAAGGGAAGGCUGGAACCUACUGGAAACUGAAGAUCUAACGAAAAGAAGGAACUUUUAGGAACUAGCAGAGACUUCAAAAUGUUGAGAACUCUCUUUUUUCAUAAGAGAAGAUAAAAACUCUGAUGGUCACACUCAUAAAGACAAAAAACAAAUAAAAAACAAACAAAAACUCAGAAUCACAAGAGCAAAGAAAAUGUAGGUAAAACAAUAACAGAAGAGGUAAAGAAAUUUAUGUGAAUUGGGACACUCUGGGGCACAGAACAGAAGAGGAGAAGAAACAUGAAAGUAAUGCUCUGCACAAGGAUGUCUGACUGUCCUUGAUUCCAAGGGCAUUUAAAAUUAGCCACUGGAUGAGAACCAUGAAAUGCCAUGACUCUUACAGCUCCCAUGAAAGACAUUGGAUGGAACUUAUCCUAACUGGACCAAAUUCUAAAAAAUUUUACAUGAUAUUAUAAUGAGUUGAAAGUUGAAAAAAAAAAGCUCUUCUAGAUUACCAAGAAUAAAACACAAAUUUCUAGCUGACUGAAUUAAUUCUCAUCUCUCUAUAGAAAGAUCAUAGAAAUUUUUUUUAUCAUGCAAAGAAAUAGCUAAAAAUUUACAAAAAUAUAGACGUGCAUUAGGCAGCUCAUGAAUAAAUGCGUUUUUUCCUUUUUUCCUCCAGAAUUUUGUGAUGUUUAUGGUACUUUUCGGCUUUUAAAAUUUUGUAUUUAAUCAGGAUUUAUUACUUCAUUGUAAGUAAAUAUUAAAUUUGUACUCCAUCUUUGUUUGUAAUUUUGUAUAUUUUUCAGUAAAAAGGACUCCCCAGAUUAUGUAAGCUUUAGGCCCCACAAAAUCUAGGCCUGUUGCUGUAUCCUUUCUAGAGCAGUGUUUCUCAAACUUCAAUGUGCAUUUGAAUCUCCUGGGGCUCCUGUUAAAAUAUAGCUUCUGAGAUGAUGCAUUUCUAACAGACUCCCAGGGCUGACACUGCCCAUCUGGGGACCACACUUUGAGAAUCAAAUAUCUAGAACAAUGGUUCUUACCUGGCUGUGCAUUGGGAUCAUUUAUAGUGCUUUUGGAAAAUACAUUGUGUCCAGGUCCCACCCAGUUCUCAGUAGGCUUGGAAUGGGGUCCUACACUUUUUUUUUUUAACUCCACAGUUUGGGAAAGAAGCCUUUUCAUAUAUUGUUGGUGGGAAUACAAAUUGAUACAGCCAUUUUUGAGCUUGAUUUGGCAAUAUCUUCCUUGGAGAAAUCAAAAGCCAGUUGGCAAGCCAGUCUGGAAAAGGCAGUUUACUGAUUCCCACCCGAGGGUCACAAAGCAGGUAUAGAAGGAUGGGCUUUGGCUGAAAUAUAUGAUGGGUACAGGUAUAUUCUCUAUAAUCCAGUAUUUCCACUGCUGAAAACGUAUCCUAGUAACAUUAUACAUAUCAAGCCUACAUAUAAAGUUGGUCAAUUCCAUAUUAUUUGUAGUAGGGGAAAACUGAAAGCAGUCUACAUGCCCAUCAAUAGAUUAUUCAAAUUAUGGAACAGUUUUCCAAUGACAAAACAAUAGCUAAUCUUAGUUAAGCAAUUAUUAUGUUAUGUAAGGUAGACAUUGUUCUACCUUAUUUAUAAGUAUUAAGUUAGUUUUUAUAACUAUCAUAUUUCCAUUUUACAAAUGACAUAAUUUAUAUUAUUGACAUGGGAAGAUGUCCAAGGAUAUAAUAAGCAAAAAGCAAGUAGCAAAACAUUAUGUAUAUUAUGCAUUACCAUUAUAAUAUACUAAAAAGUAAUGCACUUGAUUCUGAUGCACACUCCCCAGUAGGUAACAACUUAUCUAGUGUAAAAAUGAAAGAACAUUCUGGGCCGGGCACGGUGGCUCAUGCCUGUAAUCCCAGCACUUUGGGAGGCCCAGGUGGGCGGAUCACAAGGUCAGGAGAUCGAGACCAUCCUGGCUAACAUGGUGAAACCCCGUCUCUACUAAAAAUACAAAAAAAAAAUUAGCUGGGCGUGGUGGCCGGCGCCUGUAGUCGCAGCUACUCGGGAGGCUGAGGCA
ensembl:lncRNA MAP4K3-DT MAP4K3 divergent transcript